GCGGCUGUUGUGUAGUGGUUUAUCAUAUCGUCUUCCCAGUUGCACAUGUUGCAUGCCUAUUGGUUGACAGACGGAGGUCACGGGUUCGAACCCCGUCGGUCGCA